AACCCGACUACAUGAAGCUGGAAUCGCUAGUAAUCGCGGAUCAGAAUGCCGCGGUGAAUACGUUCCCGGGUCUUGUACACACCGCCCGUCACACCAUGGGAGUCGGAAAUGCCCGAAGUCUGUGACCCAACCGAAAGGAGGGAGCAGCCGAAGGCAGGUCGGAUGACUGGGGUGAAGUCGUAACAAGGUAAC
rnacentral:rRNA from 1 species